rnacentral:tRNA from 1 species
UAUAUUUUAGUAUAAGAGGUACAUUAGUUUUUGAUACUAGUAGAAAUAGUUUAAUUCUAUUAAAUAUAA